GGACGCUAAUACCGCAUACGUCCUACGGGAGAAAGCAGGGGACCUUCGGGCCUUGCGCUAUCAGAUGAGCCUAGGUCGGAUUAGCUAGUUGGUGAGGUAAAGGCUCACCAAGGCGACGAUCCGUAACUGGUCUGAGAGGAUGAUCAGUCACACUGGAACUGAGACACGGUCCAGACUCCUACGGGAGGCAGCAGUGGGGAAUAUUGGACAAUGGGCGAAAGCCUGAUCCAGCCAUGCCGCGUGUGUGAAGAAGGUCUUCGGAUUGUAAAGCACUUUAAGUUGGGAGGAAGGGUCGUUACCUAAUACGUGGCGAUUUUGACGUUACCGACAGAAUAAGCACCGGCUAACUCUGUGCCAGCAGCCGCGGUAAUACAGAGGGUGCAAGCGUUAAUCGGAAUUACUGGGCGUAAAGCGCGCGUAGGUGGUUCGUUAAGUUGGAUGUGAAAUCCCCGGGCUCAACCUGGGAACUGCAUCCAAAACUGGCGAGCUAGAGUAGGGCAGAGGGUGGUGGAAUUUCCUGUGUAGCGGUGAAAUGCGUAGAUAUAGGA
rnacentral:rRNA from 1 species